AAUCAACAGAGUUUGAGGAAAGAAGUGCUAUCAUAUCUAAAGAAUGGGAGCAUGACCUGAAAUCAUUGAAAGAGCAAAAUGAAAAACUAUUUAAAAACUACCAAACUUUGAAGAUCACCCAGGCUUCUGGUGCCCAUGUUAAUAAUCCCAACACACAAGACAGUAAGAAUCCUCAUAUUACCUCAAGAGCUAUACAACUAACCACAGAGAAAAUUCAGGACCUGGAAACUUCACUAUGUGAAGCUAAAGAAAGUGCUAUGCAUAAGGAAGACAAGAUUAUAAAGAUGCAGAAGGAACUUGAGGUGACUAAUGACACAAUAGCAAAACUUCAAGCCAAAGUUAAUGAAUCAACUAGAUGCCUUGGAAAAAUAAAAGAAACAAUCCAAGUACUUCAGUGGUAUCAGAACAUAUUGAUUCUCAGCCUUUAA